rnacentral:rRNA from 1 species
CCUACGGGGGGCUGCAGUGGGGGAUAUUGCACAAUGGGGGGAACCCUGAUGCAGCGACGCCGCGUGGGUGAAGGAGCGUUUCGGCGCGUAAAGCCCUAUCGGCAGGGAAGAAGAAGGACGGUACCUGACUAAGAAGCCCCGGCUAACUACGUGCCAGCAGCCGCGGUAAUACGUAGGGGGCAAGCGUUAUCCGGAUUUACUGGGUGUAAAGGGGGCGCAGACGGCAGCGCAAGCCAGGGGUGAAAGCCCGGGGCCCAACCCCGGGACUGCUCUUGGGACUGCGCGGCUGGAGUGCAGGAGGGGCAGGCGGAAUUCCUGGGGUAGCGGUGAAAUGCGUAGAUAUCAGGAGGAACACCGGUGGCGAAGGCGGCCUGCUGGACUGCGACUGACGCUGAGGCACGAAGGCCAGGGGAGCGAAAGGGAUUAGAUACCCCAGUAGUC